ensembl:processed_transcript
UUUUAAAUACUGGUUCAUGCAACUGGGUCUCACUCCAGCGACCUUUGAGCAUGAAUUGCAUGUUUCAGCAUUUUUAGGAAGUGACAAGUGUGAGAAGUUCUAAACCCACAGCUCUUGAGCUUAGUGCAUUUGUUGAGACAUGAAGCUGUUUGCACUGUCUUUUACAUGUCAUAGGUCAGUCAAUUCCGAUAGAUUUUUCCGUAUACAUGGGUGUUGUGAUGGUGUUUGUCAAAGAAAAUGUAUUAAAAAGAAUAAAUGCCUGUUAGAUCCAGAAAAUUUUGAUUAAAACCUGAGCAUACAUUCAAAUGCUGUAUGGAUUCACAUUAAAGGGCAUCCUUAAUAACAAUCAUCUUUUGUAAGCUGUUUGGACAGAAGUGCCCUUUAUUACAGCUGUUCAGCAAAUUACAGGGAUCAAAGUAAUUGAUGAAUCAGGCUUCUGACAUGGUAGGAUUAAAGCUUUCUCUGCUCAGUCUGGAUCUGAAAAAUUCUCCAUGCUCAACUUACAAAGCUCUGAUCUUGGUCUCUAUCAAUGUGAACUCUUCAAAGAAUUCAACUUUUCUCUGUCCUAUACAGAAAUCAGUCUCGGUCUUGUGGAGUUUUCAUUUUGUACUAACUG